rnacentral:rRNA from 1 species
GUAAAGAGCGGCGGACGGGUGAGUAACGCGUGGGUAACCUACCCUGUACACACGGAUAACAUACCGAAAGGUAUGCUAAUACGGGAUAAUAUAUUUGAGAGGCAUCUCUUGAAUAUCAAAGGUGAGCCGGUACAGGAUGGACCCGCGUCUGAUUAGCUAGUUGGUAAGGUAACGGCUUACCAAGGCGACGAUCAGUAGCCGACCUGAGAGGGUGAUCGGCCACCUUGGAACUGAGACACGGUCCAAACUCCUACGG